rnacentral:misc_RNA from 1 species
UUUAUCAUCUCCAUAUGAGUAAUCUGUUAAUUAGAGAAAGCUUGCAUAAGAUAACCAACUAAAAACAGCAUUAAUUUGUGCACAUGUCCAUCAGUGUGUAAUCAACUGCAGUAUGCACAGCAGAAAAUACAAUGAAAAACUUAAACUGUUAGAGGAGCAUAUGAUGCAUUAAAAUUUCAUUGUUGGCAAAAAUAUUUUCAGAUUAGCAGGUCAAGAAAAAAAUCUCAUUCCCAGAUUAAGUGUAGCAUGGUGAAUGCCAGAACAGCAACACAAACAAAAAUUCAUACCAAGUAACGUGUGUGUGUGUGUGUG